rnacentral:rRNA from 1 species
UACAGAGGGGGCAAGCGUUAUUCGGAAUUAUUGGGCGUAAAGGGCGCGUAGGCGGCCAUUCAAGUGACGGGUGAAAGCCCUCGGCUUAACCGAGGAACUGCCUGUCAGACUGGAUGGCUUGAGACCGGGAGAGGUGAGUGGAAUUCCCAGUGUAGCGGUGAAAUGCGUAGAUAUUGGGAGGAACACCAGUGGCGAAGGCGGACUCACUGGACCGGAACUGACGCUGAGGCGCGAAAGCGUGGGGA